GCGUAAUUCGCUCUUACGAAAUGACGUCUGGUGUUGUAUUGAUGCAUGAUCCCUUGUGAUUUUGCCAUCGUACUGCAACACUGGUGUCAGUGAGGAAUGC
rnacentral:misc_RNA from 1 species